AUGUCUUUUCAAAUAGUUGUACAUUUUGGACCUGGAGAAAGUUCUUCAGAAGAUGCCAUCAUGAUGAAUACCCCUGUGGUUAAAGCUGCUUUGGAAAUGGGUUUUAACAGAAGCCUGGUGAAGCAGACAGUUCAGAGUAAAAUCCUAACAACCGGAGAGAACUACAAAACAGUUAAUGAUAUUGUGUCAGCACUUCUUAAUGCUGAAGAUGAAAGAAGAGAAGAGGAGAAGGAAAGACAAGCUGAAGAAAUUGCAUCAGUUAAAGGAAAAACUGCAGCCAACAUCUUCAAAAACUGCCUGAAAGAAAUUGAUUCUGCAUUAUAUGAGAACUUAUUUGUGGAAAAGAAUAUGAAGUAUAUUCCAACAGAAGAUGUUUCAGGUAAAGUAGAAUUAAGACCAACACGACAUAUUAACCCUUAUUUUUCUUAGGAGAAGUAAAGUGGAAACUGAAUUUCACUAAAGUUCUUUUUGUUAUUAGGCCUGUCAUUGGAAGAACAGUUGAGGAGGUUGCAAGAAGAAAGAACCUGUAAAGUGUGUAUGGACAAAGAAGUUUCUAUUGUAUUCAUUCCUUGCGGUCAUCUGGUAGUAUGCCAGGAAUGUGCCCCUUCUCUAAGAAAGUGCCCUAUUUGCAGGGGUAUAAUUAAAGGUACAGUUCGUACAUUUCUCUCAUAAAACAAAAUAGGUUAAUAUUGGCCUGUAUAGAAAAGUCUUUGAACUAUUAUUGAACAUUAGAAACCAUUUGAAACAAAAAAAGAAUUAUUGGUUCUUCACCUGUUAACAUUCAUGUUCUAGUCUGCUUUGGUAUUAAUAACCUUGUUUCAAAAAAGAUAGUAUUAUAUAUUUAAUCUUAAUGUUUAGUUGCAGGGGAAGGUUUAUGUUUGAUGGCCUAAAUUAGUAUGUAUGUGUGAUCAUAGGAGUUAAACAUAGUGUGCUUGUUUGGAUCAUUUUAGGAGUUAUUAUUAGAUUUGGUAUUAAAGCUUUGUGUACUAAAAGUGUAGUUUGAAAGUACAGUACUAGAAACCAGUAGCUCUAGAAUUCGUCAGAGUUAUGGUGCCAAAUUAUUUUUUGGUCCUUUUAACUUAUGUUGUAAAAUAAGUACUAUCCUGUUACUGGUAAAGAAGAUUUCCCCUAAUUUGUGAGCAAUGUCUUAGUAAAGUAUGUUAAAAGGAAUUGCAUCAUCAAAAUGUGUUUUCUACCCUGAUUUAGAAAAGCACUUUUCAUAUAUUUUUAUUGUACACAGUUGCUAUUAAUUAAAAAAUUAAAUUCAUGAAACAAACUGGUUUUUAAAAAUAUGAUUUAUAUGAAUCCCCAUUGUGGUUGCUUUAUAUAAGAUAGACAUAUUGAAUGAAAACUGAAUCAGUUUCAAAAUUUCUUAAUAAUAAAAUUAGGUAAGUCCACAUUAGGAUUUGCAAAACAGUAUAAUUGCCCUUUUUGCAUAGGUGGUGAUGGAGUGAGGAAGGUGGGAUACAGAUAAGGUCCUCCUUCAUGGGCAGAGUUACACUUGACCUUUCCCAGCUCCAGCUGUGGGAUUGGCUUUUGGGGCCAGGUAGAAAAGGAGAUUUAAUAUUAAAACUUGCCAUUUAUUUCUUCUCUUUUCACAAGUCUUUUAGAUCUUUUUAAAUAGAGAGUACACUGGGAAGGGUGAGUGAAAAUUUCUGUCUUCCAAUCUCUUCUGUUUGUUUUCCUCCUGAUUUUCUGAUAUGUGUAUGUAGUCUGAAUGUAUACACCUAGGUUCAAGACCUUAUGUCAACAAGAGAAAAUCAUUCCCUUCCAUUUUUGAGGGAAUGUAAAGAAGCAACUUUUUAACUCCCCAUAAUUUAAUAUGGAAUUCUUUUCUCCAUGCUACCUAAGAAACCCUUAACUUGUUGACUACCAUUCCAUAAGUCAAAGGACAACUAACUGUUAGCUUUGAAGACAGAACUAAAUUUUUUCUGGAAGUGUAACAUUUCAUGAAUAUCUCCUACAUAUUUACCACAUUAGAAAUGAAAAAGCUGAGCAUAAUGGCACAUACCUGUAAUUCUUCCACUUGGAGGCUGAGAUGUGAGGAUCACUGUGAGUUUAAGGCCUUCCUGAACUACAAAGUGAGACUCUCUUUAAAAAAAAUUGGAUUGUGGUUUUCUUGUGGUAUGUUUAUGUAGCUUUGGUGUCAGGGUAAUUCUGGGCUCAUAAAAUGAGUUAGGAAGUGUUCCUUCUUAGUUGAUUUUUUUUUUUAAUUACCCUUGAGUACAGAAUAUAGGAGGUUCUGAGAAAAUGUCUUCCUGAUUUCCCUUCUCAAUCUCAAAGUAACUUGGGGAUGUAGCUCUGUGGUGACGCACCUGCCUGGUCCUGAGUUCGAUCAUCGGUUCAAAAGUCUAAUAAAAGUUAAACAAGCAGUACAGGACAGUAUGUCCCAAGAGAACUUUUAUUACAUCUCCUCCUCUCAGCUUUUUCUUUUUAAAUCGUUCUGGAGAUUGAAUUCAGGGCCUCAUGCAUGCUAAAUGUGUACUCUAUCACUGAGCUACACAUAUCACAGCUUCUUGAUGCAGCAGCAGCAUGGUAAAAGUUUGCAUAAAAGAAGUAGCACUUUAACUGGCUUUGAAAUGUUUUAAAAAAGUGAUUAUGCAAAAUAUAUUAUUUAUUGAACUUGGAAAUGCCUCUGAGUAGUUCGGAAGUAGUUGGGAAGUGAUAAAUCUAAACACUUUUGGACAACAGGCCAUCUUUUCCUGAGAAAAGGAAAGGGAAAGAAAAGGGUUAGAAUGUAGGGGUGCAUGUUGGUGGAAGAUAUAGGUGAUGGUCCUGCUACAAGAAAAGACUAGGUGCUGAGUUCUUCCAUCCACAUUAAAAAUCUAGAAGGCGGAGGAUUUAGCUCAGUGGUUCCACCGCCUGCCUCACAAGCUCAAGGUCCUGAGUUCAGUCUCCGGUACCAAAAAAAAAAAUCUUCUAGGACUUAAUCUCAAGUCUCCAGCUCAUUUUCCUCUCAAGAGUUGAGGUUUUCAGCUAUUUAUAUACAAUGAUAUCUGUUAAACUGUUCUCUCCUUUACUAUAAACACAAAAUCCGAUCAAACAAAAGCAGAAUAGAUAUAAAAUUUAUCAAAUAUUUGUAUUUAUCAAAUGUUCCAUUUUUUCUUUUUUCUUUUUUUUGGUACCAGGAUCAAAGUCAGGACCUUGUGCUUGCCAGGCAGGCAUGGCACCACUGAGCUAAAUCCCUGGCCCUGCAAAUGUUCCAUUUUUUCUUUUUUCUUUUUUUUGGUACCAGGAUCAAAGUCAGGACCUUGUGCUUGCCAGGCAGGCAUGGCACCACUGAGCUAAAUCCCUGGCCCUGCAAAUGUUCCAUUUUUUCUUUUUUCUUUUUUUUGGUACCAGGAUCAAAGUCAGGACCUUGUGCUUGCCAGGCAGGCAUGGCACCACUGAGCUAAAUCCCUGGCCCUGCAAAUGUUCCAUUUUAAAUAAGCAUUAUUUCUUUGGAACUUGUCAGUGUGCACCCACUUAUACAAUACAUGAAACUAUUAAGAUAAGAGACUUUCUUUUGAAAUGUUUUCAGAGGAUAUAAUGAAAGACUAUUUGCUAUAAAUAUAUUUAAUGAAAAUGUAGUUUGUGUAUACCAUAUACUAUUUCAAAUAUGGACUUGAUUUUUUGCAUAGAACAAAAAUUUAGUUUUCCUAUAUAUUAAAAGUGAUUAAGCUAUGGAUUUGAAGUAUAUUUGCACACAUAAAACUGACAAAGGAUUUAUGUUUGCUUUAAUAGAUGUGAAACUAUAGUUCAACAAAAAAGAAAGCCCAUUAGAGAAAUGGGCACAACAUGUGAAUUGGCAUUUCACAAGAGUAUAGCCAAAUGGCCAACAAGUAUGUGAAAAGGUAUUAUCAGGGAAAUGCAAAAAUCAAACUGCAGUGGUAAACUACUACAUACUUAAACAAAAUGACUAAAAUUCAGGACUAAUAAAUCAAGUGGCCGGGGAUUUAGUUCAGUGGUUCUGCCACCUGCCUCGCAAGUGCAGGGUCCUGAGUUUGAUCCCCAGUACCAAAAAACAAAACAAAAAAAAAAUCAAGUGUUGGUGAGAGUAUGGAACAAAAGACUCAGACUUCCAUGUGCCUGCAAACUGAACUGCUUUUGAAAACUACUUAGCAUUAUCUGUGAAAGCUGCACACACACAUAAACUCUUAUGACCCAGCAAUUGUAGGCCUAGGUAUAUAUACAAAAAAAUGCAUGCAAAUUUGUACCAAAGGCCAUAUGCAAGAUACUAGCUCCCCCUGGCAUUAUUUGUAAUAACCAAAUACUGGAAAACCCCAAGUGUGCACUACAUAAAUUGAUGUGAUCAUGGUGGAACUAAAUCAAUGAAUAUAACAUUAUGGAUUAAUCACAGAAAUAUUAAGUGAAAACUAGAUGCAAAAGAAACAUGGUUCUGCUACUUAAUGUUCUAAAAUAGGCAGUACUAAUCUAUGGUAUUAGAAGGCAGGUGGUUUUACUUUUGGGGAGGUAGAGGGGAGUUACUGGGGAAGUUGGGGAUUUCUGGAGUCCUGAUGUUUUUUGACCUGGCUGGACAUUAAAGAGGUUUGUUUACUUUGUAAUAAUUCAUUUUGUUUACUUUAAAACUUUUUAAUUGAUGAGUAUUUUAUGUAUUCAUGGUAUACAGCAUGUUUUGAUAUAUGUAUAUGUUGUGGAAUCAUCAAGUGACGCUACUUAAUAUUCAUAUUACCUCAUACCAUUUUUUGAUGUGAGAAAACUUAAAAUCUAUUUUCUUAGCAGUUUUUAAGUAUUCAGAUUUCUUGCUUAUUCUUAUCUAAGUUAAAUUUUGUAUCCUUUGACCAACAUUUCCCAAUCUCCUCCGAUCCACCACUGCCUAUCCUUUCAUAACUACUGUUCUACUUUCUGCUUCUGUGAUUUCAGUUUUUUUAGAUUUUACAUGUGGCACCAUGUGGUAUUUGUCUUUCUGUACCUGGGUUAUUUCACUUAAAAAGUCUUCCAGGUUUAUGCUUGUUUCACAAAUGAUAGGAUAAGUAAUAUUCCAUUAUGUUUAUAUAGCACUUUUUCUGUAUUCAUCUGCUCCUGGACAUGUAGGUUGAUGUGCAUUUUGGCUAUUGUGAAUGAUGCUUCAGUGAACGUGGAAAUGCAAAUCUCAACAUAUUGACUUCAUUUCCUUCAAAUACUAUAUUUACCCUGAAGUGAUACUGCUAGAUCAUAUGGUACUCUUUUUUUUUCCCCCCCCAUUAACUUUAUUGGUACAUUUUAGGUAUAAAAUACAGUUACAUACAUCAUUGGGAUCUUGUACCAUUACAUGAGUAUCUUGGUUCUUUUUUUUUUUCCCCCUUCCCUUGCCCUCCCUUCAC
rnacentral:lncRNA from 1 species